UUGUUUCUUUUCAUUAGUAAGAUAUAAGUUUGUUUGAUAAUACAGUUGUGUUUCUUAUUAAUUUCGAACCCGGUUGGUUGGUUACAAGCGAUUAGUUUUGUAUAUAUGUGUUUGGUUGAGGUUCCAUUGUUUAUUUUGAUGGAGAGCUUUUGGUAAAGUUUGUAUUUUUAAUUCAUGAAUUUCUUUUUAGUUUACGAUCUUAUUUAUGGUUGAUACAGACUACGGGUUUCUUUCUUUUUGGUAAAACAUCUUCCUAGACUUGAGAUCAACGUAUUGUUUUACUAUAUACAUGUAUGUAUUUUGGAGAUUUCUUUUAGAUCAUUCACUAUGGUUUUAAACUGUGUUUACAUGUUAUUUUUUGGACCAGAAAGAAUUAGCUCAAAGGUUCGAGAGAGUAAGGUCUCUGGAUCUGCAUCAUACAUAACCAUGGUUUCUAGCUAGCAAGUUUCUUCUGGAACGUUGUGUAUUUGGAACUACCGGGUACAUGUGGGUGAAUAAUUUUAUUUUGUUUAUCUAUUUUCAUAUGCACAUGGUAACCAAACGUGCAAUUGAAAGAUUAUUUUCUUUAUGUAUUCUAUGAGGUUCACAGACUUCUCAUAGAUUUGUAGGAUGCUUUUAUGUUUUAUGGACCUUAUUAUAAUUAGGAUCUUGCUCGAUAAUCUUCUGGUGAUUGCUAAGUCUUUUGAGGUGACCGAAUUACCAAGUAUCUGAUCUUUUUUUCUUCUGUUUUAGUAAAAAUGUUUUAGUUUUAUUAUCUUUUUGCUAUAUGUUUUAUUUUUUCAUUAAUAUCACA